rnacentral:rRNA from 1 species
UACGGUGGGGGCUAGCGUUAUCCGGAAUUACUGGGCGUAAAGCGCACGUAGGCGGACCAGAAAGUCAGAGGUGAAAGCCCGGGGCUCAACCCCGGAACUGCCUUUGAAACUCCUGGUCUUGAGGUCGAGAGAGGUGAGUGGAAUUCCGAGUGUAGAGGUGAAAUUCGUAGAUAUUCGGAGGAACACCAGUGGCGAAGGCGGCUCACUGGCUCGAUACUGACGCUGAGGUGCGAAAGCGUGGGGAGCAAACAGG